CUGAGCUCUAGUUUACCUUGUCUUUGCUUUAUUCUGUCUACAAAGAAACGGAAGGCUGACUUCCUGUUUAGACCUUCCCGUUUCAGUGCCAAAUUGAAGUAAAUUUUUAAGUCCAAUUCCUUUCUGCUCGCAAGUCCUUAUUUAAAGUCCAAUUGUCCGAAAUUUAAGUACUCACGGGUGAUUAUUUUAGAAGCCAAAUUGUCCCAGGAAAAAGGCAGCACUCUCCGGCAACGGCUAUGCGGCUUCGCUCCACGGAAAAAGCAGUUGACUCUCAGCACCGCGCCACUUCCCCCUCUUCGCUUCGGAGCCCGUUAGUGGGUUCCUUUGCGGGUUGGGGGGGCGCUAAGGGUGCCCGCUGAGUCCCAUGGUCACAGGCUUCAUCCGCCUGUGAUUUUUGAAAGGGUCCCCGUUUCGCCGUAGCGGAAAAGACCCGUUUCGCGCGGAGCUAGUCCCUCCAGAUCAGAGGGAGUCCGCCAUUGCCGAUGGCGCCACCCUGGAAGUCUUCAAGAUUUGUUGGGGUGUUAAUGCUGUGAGUCACUCUGUCCUGUUCUCAGGGUGUGGGUGUGUGUCUGGAGUCUCACAUCACUCAGAGAUAUUGGUGGCAUGUAAUGAUACAUUAGGGGGGCAGGAAAAAAAGACUGUAACAGUCAUAACUGCAUGAACUUGGAGAAGCAAAUCAAACUUCCACCAACGGAUUUAUUAAAUAAACAUGAUUCCUGCAUGGCAGGGGGUUGGGCUAGAUGACUCUUUGGGUCCCUUUAAAGUCUACAGUUCUAUGAUUAUAUGAAAAAUAUUUAUGUUUGAACUGACUCAGCAGCAUAGAUGCGACAGAGAGCCUGCCCUUUACUUGAUACAGGCAAUCUGGGUAGGAACACUCAAAUUACCAUAUUCAUAAUCCGAACAUGAAAUAAUAACAUGUAUUAUCCUUCAAAGCUUCUUUAUCCACUAACCCAUUGACCCAGUUGUUAGUGAACUGGAUUUUUCUGCGCGCACACACCAUUCCCAGCUCCUCUCCCGCCUUCCUCCCUGUCUCUGCAUCGCUACUGUCUCUGCUUCCUGUCUCUGCAUCACUACUGAUUCAUCUAAGCAAAAUUAUGGGCUGUUUUCAUUUCACCACUGUUUUUGCCUUGCAAAACAUCAUCAUUGUGUGUGUGCAUUUUGAGUGUUCCUGCAACUUCCUCUUUCAGGCUGAUGGGAGGGGGUCCACAUGCUCUUCUACUCCUUGCUUGCUAGCUGCAGGUAACCAGCACUUUGUAACAUCCUCUCUGCAAAGCUCACUUCAGCACCCAAUCCUUAGUUUGACACCCAAGAUUUGUUCCACUGCAGGCAACAGGACAGUUCCAUCUUACCUGGAUCGCUGGAUGAGAAUCCAUCCUGCUCAGAAAUCGGGCUGAGCCACCCUACUCCACCCCACUCCCAGCUGAUUCACUGUGGAGAGAGAUUCAUAGUGGCAUCUGGAAAUACAUCUAUCCUUGGCAGAAUAAAGGGGUGUUGAUGGGAUACCCCUCUCUCUUCAUUCUCAGUGACAUUCCAUUUCCAAUAACAGCCAGAAUUGUUUCCAUGCUUUUGUAUUAUCUCUCUGCACAUACCAGGGACCACAGAAAGUCUGUCUAGAGUGGUGCAGCAAUAAAAAUGCUACUACAUUUGCAAAGCUAAGCAGGGUCUGGUAUGGGGGAACCACAUGUUGAGAUUCUUGCAUUGCAGGGGGUAGGACUAGAUGACCCUUGGGGUCCCUUUCAACUCUACAAAUCUAUGAGUCCUCUGAACUGGUGCAGGCAGAGGUUAGGAGGUUAGCAUCAGCGACUACUAGCUGUGAUUACUAUAUUCUGCCUCCACCAUUAGAGGUAUCAUGCCUCUGAAUGCCUGUUGCUGGGAAUUGCAGGAGUACAGAGUUCUGUGGUGCUGAGGUCUUGCUUGUGGGCUUCCCAUUGUGGCACAUUGUGGAUCAGGCCAAUGGCCCAUCUAGUCCAGCUUCCUGUGGCCAGACAAAUGCCUAUGAGAAACCCACAAGCUGGACCUGAGUGUAAGAGCGCUCUCAUAAGAGAGUAGCGCAUUUCGUUGGCCACUGAGAGAAAAAGAUGCUGGACUAGAUGGGGCCAUUGGCCUGAUCCCACAGGCUCAUCUUACAUUCUCAAAAGUCUUCUAUCUGGGCCUGGGUCAACCUUGGCCUGCUUAAACUUCAAAUAAGGAAAAAGAGUCAGGAUGCUUACGUUGCUUAUUUCAAUUCUUUUACAUCGCCUUGGAGUGAGCAAUGAGGUUGGCUGUAACUGGGACCCAGAUUUCACAGCCAGAUUCUCUGGACGGCUGUGCUCCACUUUCUCUUGGCUGCUGCACCGCGAUGGAAGGCAAAGCACAUGCCCCGGCUGCUAUCAGCGGGAAGCCGUGCAGCGCGAUGGAGGAGCAGAUGGGAAGGCCCGGCUGUCUCGCUGGGAGCAAGGAACAAGCAGCCGAGCAAAGCUGCGGAAACUCCUUCGUCGUAGGUUUAAAAGAAGAGGCAGGAUAACAGGAUCAAACGUUUGCCAGAGACAGUUUUAGGUCUAGCUAAUCUCAUGCUGAACUUUGUGAUCCCUGCAUAGUUCAAAGCGUGCUGCUUAAACCUGGCUGCAAAAAAAGAAGACAGCAAGCAUAGAAUAUUGCUAAAUGAAGACGGUACGGAUGUAGCUCUCCCUGGUCCCCUGUCUCUCCUGGAUGCAGCUGCAAGAGGGGGGAAAUGAUUACUUAGCAGCAGGGUCAGUGUCAAGUAGAGUUGCCAGGUCAGGAGCAUCCCAGAGCCUGAGAGUUCAGGGCCCAAACCUGAGACAUGGAGCGGCCUCUGGUGAUGUCAUGGGCUGACAUCCAGUGAUGCCAUGGGGGCAGGCCCUGGAGACGGAGGUUAAUUGGGAGGAGCAGAGGAGGGCAGAUCGCUCUCCCAAGUGUAUUUGCUAUAACUUGCAGGCAGCGCCUGCUGGGCUGAAUUUUGCAACCUGCAUGCACAGUCUUCUUUUUAAUAUAUAUUUAUACAUCCUCUCAUUGCCUUGAACCCCUUUUGAACAGUAGUGUGAGAUAAGUGCAGUGGUGGUGGGACAAGGCAAGCAAAUCUUGGUGUAAGUUGCAAGACCGGCUGUGAAGGGACAGAAACACCCUCCCCCUAUGCCCCCAUCAGAAGCUGUCUCCAGAAGAAAGGAUCUAGAGAGGUUAGGCACUCAGAGCCACUAUUCACCCACUGCAUUGAGAAAAGAAAGAAGUCCACCAAGGUCUUUGACUUCUUAGCUAAAUGGACAGAAUCUGGAAUGCCUACCAUGAGCCGCAGAUGUCACUGUUUUAAGCUUCAUCCCAGGCAUACUUUGAAUGAGAAUUGUCUGGUAGCAAGGAACAUAAGAAAAGCCUGCUGAAUUAGGCCAGUGGCGUAUCUAGCCCAGUAUCCUGUUUGCACAGCGGCCAAUCAGAUGCCUAUUGUGGGAAUCCUCCAAGCAAGAUUUGAGCACAAAUCUCCCCUCCUGUGGCUUCCUGUGGUAUUCGGAAGCAUUGCUACCUCCAACUGUUGAGGCAGAGCAUAACCAACAUGGCUUGUAGCCACCGAUGGCCCUGUCCUCCCUGAAUUUGUCCAGUCCUCUUCUAAAUCCACCAAGAUUAGUGGCCGUCACUGUUUCCUGCAAGAGCGAGUUCCACCGUUUAACUCUGUGCUACAAUGAAGUCCUUUCUUUUAUCUGUCCCGAAUCGUCCAGCAUUCAGCUUCAUUGGAGAGCGGGUGCUGCGGCCUAAGGAGUGCUAUUUCUUACAGAAUUAAAGCCGGCCGUCUCGUUUGUUUUACUUUUUAGAAGAAGAACUAUGGGAAAUUAGGGGGAGAAAAGGUGGCCUUUGCAAAUAUGGAACUAGCAAAAAUGCAGAGAAGUACAGGUGUCCGCUCUGAGGAGGAGGAGGAGGCUGGAUAAGGAGGAUGGCAGAGCACAUUUGAAGCCAUCUGUCAGCUUCUAAUUAUCAAAAUGGCAGGGCUUCCUGAGCCCCUUUUGCUGAAAUCAAAGCUGAGGUCAGGGGGUUGCGGGGAGGCGGAGAGGCUGUGCACAUUACCAGCUUAAGAUGCAGUGAGGUCGUUCCCCACCGCUGCUGCUGCAUUUCAAAUGGCAUUUGCAUGUUGGCAUAUGCGUCAGUUGUGUUGUGUGUGUUUCCUUGUUUCCCACUGUCUGUCCAUGCACAAGUGGGCAGAAAGAUAUAGGAUAACAGCAUCAUAGAGUUGGGAGGGUCAUUUAGUCCAGCCCCCUGCAAUGCAGGAGUCACAGCUAAAGAAUCCCAGACAGGUGGCCUUCCAACGUUUGCUUAAAAACCUCCAAGGAAGGAGAGUCCACCGCCUUCCAAGGGAGUCCAUCCUGUUGCCGAACAUAAAGUUAUUCCUAAAGUUUAGUCAGAAUCUCCUUUCUUAUCAUCUGAAUCCAUUUGUUCAGGUCCUACCCUCCGGAGCAGGAGAAAACAAGCUCGCUGCAUCUUCUAUGAGAUAGCCCUUUAGAUGUCUAAGGUUUGUGUUCUCAAAUCGGAUUGAAGCUGGUUUGCGGUGGGGAGGGCACACACCAAAACACAGUGUGGAUUGUGUCAUGUGAAAGCAGAUUCAAAUGGGAGAGUGCUGGAGAAGGAGUAAUGUGUACCCAGUGGCCUUAGUCAUGCUUAUAUUAGAACCACUAAAAUUAGGGUUGUCGUUAUGUCCUCUUUUCCCAGGAUACAUCUUUUUUUCAUGGGUAGAUUCGUCAUAGUGAUCCAUAGUUAACAGCAUAAGUCGGCAAAUGUGCCCUCUUUUUUGCUCUUCAAAAUAUGGCAACCCUAUUAUUAAGUCCUAUUGAGUGUGACAGAUCUACUGAACAUUAGUCUGGUUCCAGUCCAUUAUUACAAAAAGAAAUAAAAAAUAAAAAAGGACUAGUUCUUUAUUUUGAGCUCUCAGCAGGGCUAAGAAAGUUCCCUGCCUCUUUCAACCAGCCUAGUGGUCGAGACAUUACUUCCAGAAUGAAGCAAAACAAGCAACACCAAAAUAAAAGAAAUCGGAGAAAGAAGUUCAUUGGUGGGGUGGGGGUGGAUAAAAGAGUUAUUAUAAAUUUUUUUAUCCCACCCUCCCUCAGAAACUAUCAGAGGAGCCCACUCAUAGUCAAUUAACUCAACAAAUAACCCCAGAUGAAUAGACAACAAUAUUCCAGUGAAAUCUUACAAACCACCCAGACCCCAGCAAGUCCAGACAGCUGACAUUUGGGAGGGUUUUUUUUUUUUUUUGACUGGCGUAUGUUGCUGACCUUAUCAAGCCUCCUCAGACGGGAAUUUUCUCAAAGCGGAAGCAGGCAAAUGACAAGAUUUCUUUGUUGCUUUCUCUGAGCCAAGAGAAGUCGGAAAGGGCAGAGGGAGGACAGAAACAGGGUUCUUCAUGGCAUGAAUAUAUGCCUAUAUCUAUGAAGAAUCUCCAUUAAAAAGAAUUUUUUUUAAUGGGUUGGAUGCUCUAGGACAGGGUCAGGGGAACUUGUUCAACAGGUUAAUCAAGGCUCCCUUUUAACUGAUCAGAUUUGCACCCAGGGUGAUUGUCUCUCUUUCCUGGAUGGAAGUCCCCUUUGUACUCACAUCUAGACUGUUGAGGUUCUGCCAACACCAGAAGGCAUGCCACUGAGACAGCAUAACCACUUCUUGUUGGAAGGUAUCCGAGACUUCCGCACUGAAGAAGCAAACCAGACUUGGGUCCAGUCAGGGCCUGGAUAGUGACUUUAUGGGAAUCUCAUUCACGCUGCCUUGAAUUCCACAAAGGAAACCCAGAAAUGGGUCUACAAGAUAUGUAAUCACCUACAUCGCUACAGAUAUGGAUGUUGUGACUGUGUUUCCUUCUUCAUACUUUGAGAAGGUGAUCUUGCUGUGGAUGGUUGCUUCUGUACAACCCUAAGAACACAAGAAGAGCCUGUUCCUGGAUCAGGCCACUGGCCCAUCUAGUCCAGCAUCCAUUUCUCACAGUCGCCAACCAGGUGGCCGUGGGAAGCCCGCAAGCAGGAUUCAAGCACCAGAGGACUCCCCCUUCCUGAAGCUUCCAUCAACUGGUAUCCAGCAGCAUUGCUGCCUCUGACUGUAGACGCAGACCAUAGCCAUUGUUCAUUCUGCAUUAAUUUUGAUUUUGCAACCCUGGGAAGAGUUUGCUAGAACAGCCACUGGCAAGUUUCUCUACCUGCCUUGUCCCACCCCCUACAGGGGGGGCAGGUAUUGUUUGUGGCUCUUUUGUACUUUAUUCUUGGGAUUUGUUUUACAUGUUUAUUGACAUGAGAUGUCCGUUUGCCCUAUUGAUAUUAGCGUGGCUUUUUGCUGUGGCUCUUUUUUGCAAUUGUUUGUUCAUUAUCUUGGAAUGUCGCUAUAUUUUAUGCUGUGUGUUGUUCUGAGCCACUUUGAACAUGGCUCUGCCAUAGGGAAGUGGCAUGCAAAUAAACUCACCAUGCUGAUGAGCAUCUUUACUUUAUUCCAAGACCUCCACCAUUUAAAAAAUAUAUAUUGGUUUUCUUUGGCAAUACCAAGACACCUGUGUUACCAGUCCCAGAGACCGGUGUUGCUACUAGGGAUCUCCAAAGCACUGCCUGGCACACAGUGGAGACUGGAGAGAGAGGAAUAUUGUUUUGCUCUGUCCUUCUUUUUAUGAGGAGUGAGGAAGGCAGGCAGCAGGCAGGGGAGAACAGAAGUUCUGCUUCAUUUGGCCUCUAAUAAGAUUAGUGUCUGUUCUGCCGAUCAGGUGACCAGGAGCUGUCUGUCUCUCUUUCUGUGUGUGUGUGUACAGAGAGCUGCACACAUGUGGUGCACUAGGGUUUCCUGGCUCCUACUUCUCCUUAUAUGGUGUGAAGCUUAAGGAAGCUGCCGAUUGGCUGGUCCAGCAGACACCCCAGAGGUAGCAAGAAAGAGGGUGACAAGAAGGAAAGAAGAGAGAGGGAGCAAUCGAGGGUCUUGAAUGGCAGAUGACAAGGAAUCUGGGUGCAUCACAUGCUCUGGAAAAAACAACAACAACAACCCAAAAUGUGUCAAGCAAAUUGCAGCUGUUUAUAGAGAGCCUCCCCACCAUUGCCACUCUCAGCAAGGCUGCACACUGGCUGUUUCUGAUGCCAGUAAGGAAAGUGAGCCAAAUCCAAACUGCUCUGCACCAGGUCCCCCUCACCACCACCAUCUCCACCUCCCCCUUUCCUAAAUGUGACGGUACUGUGGAUGUCGUACAAUGAACCACUGCCGGAAUGUCCGCCGUAUCUCUGCCGCACUGCUGGGUGCCUCCGUUACAUAAUGGAAUAAAAUGCAACCCGUUGUUAGCAAAUCAAAAACGACGGAGCCCUGCGAAGAGACAUUGCAAGCGUCUCCUACCAGGAACGGCUGUCUCUUGUCACGCCGAUGAGGCAGCCGAGGCUGUGGGGAGGUUUAUCAAUGCUCUUGGCGGAGAGAGUUGAGAGAGCGUUGCCAGAGGCAAACACAUAUGUGUAGUGCUGUCCCAUUGUUGGCCCGCUGUUAGGGCGCCGCACUCAGCGCUGCAGAAUGCACAUUUCCAAGGUGAUGGAGGCAGAAUGACAUUCAUGACACCCGGGACAGCUGGCAAAACGUUCAAGCAGCUGGGGUGACUGCCCUAUAAGGAAAAGCUGCAACUUUUUGAGAAAAGGCACGAAAGAGGAGACCUUCUCAUACAACACUACGAUUCGUGGAAGCUGAAUGUUGGAAGAUAAAAAGAAGCCCUUCUUCGCUCAGCGCAUUGUUAAACUAUGGAACUCCCUCCCACAAGAGGUAGUGGUGAUUUUGAAUACCAGUUUUGGGAAACCAGAGGAGGAGAGAGUUUCCCUGUGUUCAGAUCCUGAUUGCUGGUUUCCCAUUGGGGCAUCUGAACGGCAACUGUGAUAACAGGAUGCUGAACCAGUUGGGAGAGCCAGGCUCUGUUUAUGUUUGCACUGUAGCAAGGGACACAGGUGGCACUGUGGGUUAAACCACAGAGCCUAGGGCUUGCCAAUCAGAAGGUCGGCGGUUUGAAUCCCCACGAUGGGACGGGGUGAGCUCACAACCUCCCUAGGGCAGGGGUCUGCAACCUUUAAGACAAAAAGAGCCACUUGGACCCAUUUCCGAAGAAAAAAAAACUGGGAGCCGCAAAACUCGUCAUUAUAAAAAUAACUUUUUUGUCACUUUUUUUAUUAUUUCUUUGUUUGACCCC